UACGAAGGGGGCUAGCGUUGUUCGGAUUUACUGGCGUAAAGCGCACGUAGGCGGUUGUUAAGUUCAGGGUGAAAUCCCGGAGCUCAACUCCGGAAACUGCCUUUGAUACUGGCAAGCUAGAGUCCGGAAGAGGUAAGUGGAACUCCUAGGUGUAGAGGUGGAAUUCGUAGAUAUUAGGAAGAACACCAGUGGCGAAGGCGGGCGAUUACU
rnacentral:rRNA from 1 species